UCCACAAGACUUGACCGGGUAGACAUUGAGGGCCGUGACCUCGCCCACUAGCUCGUACGUUUUCCUCUUCCUUCUUAUCCAAACGAGAACUGUAACCGUUGCGACAGAAGCAACACAUGCACACAAAAGCGGACCUCUUGGAAGUAUCGGCCAUCGAAUCAUUGUUUUAUUAUAACAUAUAUGAAUUAUUUUUUUCUAGACACGUGUACGAUAACUUGCAUCAACUGAAAUAAGUAUUAAAACGAAAAAGUAUUUCUCCAGUGAUGUGUCGUGAAUCUUUUCCCUGGACCUUGUCACCUUACAACUGGACCAAAGAAGGCUGUAGGUUGCAGACGAUUGCAGACUGUGUUCAGGAGUAUUAUAGCUGAACAGGAAGAAGGGAUUCAGCAUCUGACCAGUACCAUAUGGGUCAUCUGAGAGAUUGACCAGAAGGUAUGACUUCCCUAAACACAGAGGGACAAGAUGUUGACAUGACAAG